GGGGCGGAUCGCGUCUGUGCUGCACGUUCUUGGAUCACGUCCCCGUGGGGAGGGGCUCAGCGGUCGGCGCCGCCUCCGGCCCAGGGCGUGACCCCGGGUCCCGGGUCCCGGGAUCGAGGCCCGCGUCGGCCCUGCGUGGGGCCUGCGCCUCCCCGCGCCUCCCCGCGCCUGGGUCUCGGCGUCUCUCUCUCCCCCCUCCCUGUGUCUCUCCCGAAUAAGUAAAUGACCAUGUUAAGAGGCUGAAGACCCGCUGGUCGGUUCCCACAGGCUCCCCUGGCGUGUCGGCCGGGCCCGGCGCAGUCAAGGCAGGAGGCGCGGGGAGCAGCUGCCGGACGUCCCUGGGCCUCGGGCCGGACCCGCCCGCGGACCGCGAAGGCCCCUCCCGCCGGCCUGGCCCCGCAGGACCCGAUUGCCCAGACCCCCGCGUCCUCAGAGAGGUGCAAAGCGGCAAAGGCCUGCUCGUGCCUGCUCGUGCCUGCUCGUGCCUGCUCGUGCUCACCUGCUGCCCGGGGAGUGACCCCAGGUCGCGCUCUGCGGCUCCGCCACGCAAACACCUGUGCACCGUUAGAGGCGUCCUCAGCUCCAGACCGUCCGCGCGCCGCCUCGGCCUCCAUACCCUCCCACAGAAUCCACCGUGUGAUGUUCUGUAGGAUCCAUUGCGUCCUUGGUUUAUUGUCAUCACGGGCCUCCUGCAACCUGAAAACCCGUCCCGAGGGCAAGGAGCGGCCCCUGCUCGUGGAUGCAGCUGCAGUAGGCGGCCGGCAGGCGGCAUCGCUGAACUGGGCCAAAUUUAAGAAGGGGGGGGGGGACUCAGGCCUUCAGCCCAGGGCGUGACCCAGAGGCCGGGGUGGAGCCCACGUCCCUCCCCGCAGGGAGCCUGCUUCUCCCUCUGCCUGUGUCUCUGCCUCUCUCUGUGUGUCUCAGGAAUAAAUGAACAAAAUCUUAAAAAACAAAAAACAAUGCAAAGCAGC